rnacentral:rRNA from 1 species
CGGAUGGGUGAGUAACGCGUGGGUAACCUGCCUCAUACAGGGGGAUAACAGUUAGAAAUGACUGCUAAUACCGCAUAAGACCACAGCACCGCAUGGUGCAGGGGUAAAAACUCCGGUGGUAUGAGAUGGACCCGCGUCUGAUUAGGUAGUUGGUGGGGUAACGGCCUACCAAGCCGACGAUCAGUAGCCGACCUGAGAGGGUGACCGGCCACAUUGGGACUGAGACACGGCCCAA